AUAUUAAGUAAAUAUCUUAUUAUUCUUUAAAUGUGGAGGAAAAUCAUUUAAUGAGGUUUUUAUAGACUUAUUUUUGACACCUAUACAGAGAAAAAGCAAGAGAAGAUUGCAGACAUUUAUCACACAUGUUGUUCUAUCAUAGAUCACAUUGAAAUAUUGCAAGCAUGCUAAAAGAUGUCAAAGUAAUAAUUACAGGAUGUGAACUCAUGUUUUUGCCUAAAUUUACCAAUUGAAGAACUCUGUGUAUGAGGAGGGAGCAUUGCAAAGUGUCAAUGACUAAUUUUUUGUGUAUCAAAAAAAUUAUGCUCUAUUAUUUUAUAGCUACGUAGAAUAUGAAAAGAUGUUUGCACAAAAGUAUAUGAAAAACAAAAGUAAAGAGGGUCUUUACAGAUAUAGAUAUUCACCAAGGCAAGCCAAUGAACAGAGGAAACCUUUUCAACAAAUGGUGCUGAAACAAUGGAAUAAAUAUAUGAAAAAGAUGACUGGACCCUCUACCACACAACAUACAUAAUCAAGUGUAAAAGCCAAAAUGACAAAGUUUCUAGAAGAAAACAUGAGAUGGUAUUUUUGUGACUUUGGGUUAGGCUAAGGUUUUUAUAGGGGACACAAGAAGCAUAAACCAUAAAAUAAAUAUUGAUAAAUUGAACUGCCUCAUAAUAAAAAAAUAAAGUCUAGUUAUCAAAAGACGCUAUUAAUAAAAUGAAAAAGGAAGUCACACAUAGGAUAAAAUAUUCUCAGUACAUAUAUCUGACAAUAACUUGUAUAUAGAAUAAGUAAACAACCUUUAUUACUCAGUUGUAAAAAGAUAAACAAUCCAAUUACAUAGGAAAAAGACUUAAUCAGACUUUAUGAAAGAAGACAUAUGCUUGUCAUAAACAUGUGGAAAGGUACUCCAUGUCAUUAUCAAGGAAAUAUAAAUGAACACCUCAGGGAGUUACCCCUGCACAAGCAUUGGGAUGGAUGAAAUGAAAGGGACUGGAAACACCAGAUGUUGGUGAGGAUGUGAAGCCCAGAACUCUCAUACAUUGCUGUUGAGGAUAUAAAAUGGAACACCUAAUUUGGGAAAAGUAUACUCUAUUCUGUGACCCAGCAAUGCCACUUAAGGGUUAACCCAAGAGAAAUGUCUGCCAAAAAUACUUAUAAGUAAAUAGUGGUAAUUCAUAAAAUAAAUGUUACUCAACAAUAAAAGAGAAUACACAAUACAGUCAUGUAUCAUUUACUGAUAGGGAUACGUUCUGAAAAAUGCAUUGUUAGGCAAUUUUGUCAUUGUGCAAACUUCAGAGAGUGUACUAGCCCUAGAUAGUAUAGGCUACUACGUACCUAGGCUAUAUAUGCAGUCCAUUGUUGAACGAAAUGUUCUUAUGCAGUGCAUGACUGUAUACCCAAAAAUAUGGCUUCUAUGGAUGAUAUACACAAUAUGGAUCUGUUUAUACAGAUUUUAUUAUCUCCACUCAUCCAAAAAAUAAUUUUGGGGGGAAAAUACAUUAUUUUCUUUCUUUACUUGAAUAUUUCUUGAGUGGGACUGUCAGGUUUUCAAGUUUGGAAGUAAGAAUGCUGCUCUUCUAAACACUGAUUCAGAAGAGCGGAACUUCUGAGUCACAGACUAAGUUCAGCCUUCAGUUUAAUUUCACCUGGUAACAUUGGUUUAAUCUGAUAAUUGCUGUUAAUGACAAAGCAGUGUUCUCAAACCUUGAUGUACGUCAAAAUCACCUGGAGUUUCAGAUCCAGCGGGUCUAGGGCGGAGCCUGGGAAUUUUCAUUUCUAACACGUUCCCAGGUGAUGCUGCUACUGCUGGUCCAGGAACAGAGGAGUACUGCUGGAUAAUGGGUUUCUUGGUAAUGGAUGAAGAGCUGAGAAGAAUAGUUACCUUUCAAAUUUGCAUUUCAAAGAGUAUAUGAAUAUCGAAGUAUAGUGCGAGUGCCUGCUGAGUCCUGCCCUUCAAGGCACAUCACUGAGCUGAAUGCUGUCUGAGUUCUUAUAAGCCGUUUAAGACACAAUCAUAAUGAAUGUAUCUACUUUGGGUCAAAAUGUACUGUUUUCCUAUCUACUUGACCUGAGAAGAAACAAUCAUGAAACGUUGUUAAGCUAUGACAUUGAUUUAUUGAAGGGGGUGGGAUGGUGUGGUAGAUUUUAUAACUGUGCCCAAUUCUUCCCUCCAUGCGUGUUGCUGUGUGACUUAUAUUGCUGUAUGGGAUCGGGGCAUGGGUAAGGAUGUUUUCCCACCUGACAACAAGCUUAGUCAUGUGACCAGGUCUUCACCAACAAAAAGUGAGUGGAAUGUACAGUUCUGAGUAGAAGCUUCGAGAGCCCUCUUGUAGUUUCUCAACUGUUUCUUUUUCCCCCUCUGCCAUAAGAAUAGCAUGUCACAGACAGAGCCUGCUCCUUUAGCCAGAAUGAGAAAAAUACAAGCAGAAGAGUUCAAGCCAACAUAUAACCUGAGCAAGCAAUAAAUAUUUGUUAUUGUAUGUCAGUGAGAUUUUGGGGCUAUUAUUGUGGCAAAAUCUGGAGAAAAUUGCUGAGUACUCCAUACCUCCUAAUGAGGCCAGCUAUGGGGCUAGGCUGAUUAUGUGUAAUAUAUUAGUUUUAGUUACCACAAUAAUCCUGCCAGUUAGAUAUUAUUCCUCAAAUUAUAGGGAAGAAAAUAAGGUUUACAGAGAGUUGACCACACUAACUCUGGUAAGAGAUUUCUUUCAUAUAUACCAUGAUGUGGUAGUGCAUAAAAUGGUAAAAUAUAAGUAAGGUUAUGUGUGAAUACAGUACGUUUGUUAAGGGAUAUUAUUAGUUUAACCUUUCUAAUCCCAAUAUCUUAAUCAAUGGGCAUAGUUAAUGCAACCACAGAAAACAGCAGAACCUCCUCCUCUAUCAGCAUUGGUUUUUCCAUUCAAAGACGAUUAAAUAUAUUUUUAAACACUCAAAGCAAAAGCCUCUGGUUAAAAAUAUUUACUCUUCAAAACUCUGAGUAUAAUUUAAUUGGGUUUCUGGAGUAGAUGGGCUAAAAUUUCCAUGUUUGAAAGUGGAAGAUAGACUCCAAUAAGGCGAAUGAAUGGGGAGACAACAUUAACCUACUUAAGAAAUCUUUGGUUGAGUGAAUAAACAUGAUAACUUGAUAGAUCAUUGAAAGAUUGAUUGUUAGUGAGGCAGUAAAUGAGGAAUUCAAAGGAGAGAUGGUGAAGGCCCUGGAAUCCAGGGUUUGUCUUUAAGAGGCCUGUGUUAAUCAAGAAGCUAUGCUUAAGGAUAUACAAGGUAAAGGACUUUCCCAUUAAGGUGGGAAAGAUUGCAAGAAAGAGGUUUUAUGAGGAAAGAUUAGAGGAUUGACUGGGCUCAUUGUCUUGGAUAAGCUUUCUCAAAUGUUUCCUUCCUUCAUUCUUUAAGCAAGUGUUUCUAUUGCAUCUGUUUUCGGGCCGGGUUUGCUGGAUGUGGGUCGUAUGCAGCGAACGGGAGAUAAACCUGCUGGCACAGAUCUCUGGUGUUCCAGUGGAGGAAAUAAACAAACAGAAGGAAUAAUCUUUUGGAAUCACAAAUGCAAUGAGGAGAAUGAUAAAGGAAGAGAGGGCUUCAUGGGCAUGUCUUAACUGUAACAGCGCUAUUGGGAACAUGUUAAAUUGUAUAUUAUCCAGUAAAAAAGAAAAUGAGAAUGUAUAAUUAUCUGGGAAGUUUCAUAUCAUUCAUACAAACUUUUUGCAAAAUACUUUUAGCUGCCUAAAUUGUCUGUGCUGCCUGUGCAAAUAAGAGUUUCUCAAGCUUUGAUGGAACAAAAUAUUCUGUGGAGCAAAAGACUUAGUCACUAGGCUAUUCCUCUUCAAAAAAAAGAAUUUCAAACCAAAGGAAGUAAAACACAUGUUAAAUAUCUGGACAAAUAAACUGAACACAAGAGCCAAAAAUAACAUCUUUUUCAAUAGAAUGAAUAAGAACAUCUUCUCUUCGAAAUAAACUGCAAUUUAGUCAUAAGCAAAUUGUUCAUGUUAGUUACAAUAUUAUUCCAUGUCAUAUAGUUGCAUGCAGUAAAAACAAAAAAAAAAUGAGUCUCAAAGCUUCUUAAGGGAGUAUGAUUGUGUUAUUUGCUCAAAGGAUUAGAAAUACCUAAAACGUGGCCCCAUUUCAAUCAGUGCUGUUGUGUAAAUACCAUACUUGUGCCCAUGGUGGGGAGAGAAGGCAUAUUUCUUAAUCUACAUGCAUUCAAGUAGGGAAAAUUAAGUGCACAGCUCUUUGUGUAUUUGAAUUAACUCCAAUAGCUAAUGUAAACCUGAACUAUAUAGAAGAUGAUGAUUAUAUAUUAAUAAAGAUGGGCAUAGUAAGCUU